UGAAAGGGUUAGAAGAAAGAAAAAUGAAGCAAGUGUCAAACAUGGGUAUGGUAUGGGAUUUGUGUGUUGCUCUGUGGGGAAAUAUGCCAGAGUUUAAAGAUAUGGCUUGAUGAAUUGAUGGCUCCACAAGGGUUCAUGACUGCACCAGUUGGUUGUUGGGGGAGAUGGACUAAAGAGUGAUUCAACUACUCUUAAAUCUUUUAUCACAAUGAGCUACAGUAAGCUAGAUUAAACUUGACAAAGUAGUUGUUAAACCAGCUUCCAUGUAUUUUUUUUUAUAUUCAGAUUUGAAGUUUUAGUUAACUGAUUUAAAAGGAUUGCAAUUUAAUGAAUACAGAAAUAGAAAAAGACACUUACCUGUACCACAAUGCAAGGAGAGAGGCAUUUUCAAGAUGGCUGUCAUCUGUAUCAGGGGAGGUAAUCAGAAAAGAAGUUCAUAAAAGUAAAUACAAGGUUCUGUUGUCAAGCUGAAGUACCUAUACAGGAAGCUGUUGAGUUAUAUGAGAGAGCAUUUAAAGGGACCAAUGUUAGCAUACCACAGAACAAGUCUCCACAUGAACUUUGCUGCACAUCUAGAGUAUCUCAAUCUCUGGGAAUGGGUUGUCUUUGUUGCAUUGCAUAUCGAGAAUCGAUCAGCCCAGAGUCAGCUGUACAAAGUAUACUCAACUGGCACAUUCAGCUUUCAUCAUCAGAGUCUAACCCAAAGAAAGAAGAGUUACUGAAUGAAAGGAUGUUGGUACCUGUUGAAUGGAUACAUAGUGCUUAGAGGUAUUGGCAAUAUAUGCAAAGAAAAGAAAGAAAGAGUACAUUGUGACCAUUUAUACAUUAGGACAGACUGUUCAAGAAACAAGCGUAUAAAUCUGGUUCAGAAUCCACAAGUUUCCAGCCAAAAAAUGCCAAGAGAAUGACCUGUGUUCAUACUGUAACUCAGUUCUUCUAGACUACAGCGAAGGCUUCAGUUCUUGCCUUUCCCAGUCUGAGAUGAAGGUGAUCAACAUUACAGAGACUUUAAUGAGGAUGAGUACUACAGCAAGUUCCACUUGCCUGCAGUUGAUUUCUACUGGUAUUUAUGAGCAGACGAUUGGAUAAGUCAAGCCCUGGUAUACAACUAUUAUACUUUUAAAAGGAAUUCCAGUCUUGAAAAUUCAGUAGCAGUAGCUGUAAAGUGAAAUAAGAAAAACUUUUAGUGAAAUAUCUAGUCAAAAAAGUAUUGUUACUGGUUUACAACUGAUUGUGAUUGUUUUUCCUUGUGCAUUUUGUCAGUUAAAAACUCAGUGGAAAUUUAAUAACAAUGAAGAAAGGGGGGCAUUUUAAUAUUUUAUAGUGUGGAUUUGACCAAUGGGAUAGCUAGAGGUACAUACUUUUCUCUGGUUGAUAACUUCAUAUGGACUGAACUUAGAAAGUAACAGCUGUUUUAUUAUUGAAUUAAACAGGUCUCAGCAUUUUUGUGAAAAUAGUGCACUUGCAGAGGCUGAUAGAUUUGACUGAACACAAUGGUUGUAACUUGUUUAUGACAUCACAUUGUUAUGACAUCACUGCUGAAUAAACUAUAUUUUGUAUAAUUGUUUGAUCUUACUAUUUUGUAUAAGUGUUUAACCUUGUACUUGAUCUUAAGUGCUUCCUUGAUCUUGCUAUAUUUUUUAUAAGGAUAUCAUUUUGAUCAGAUCUUUGAGACUGUUUUUGGCCUUUACUGAGAAUGAUUUAUCUCUAGUCAAAAUUAUUUAUUAGCAUUGAAAAAUAGUAACAUAGUUUAGAUAUGGCAUUUUGGCCAAAGGAGAAAAUCUAUGUCCUCUUUAAAGCCUUUUUAUACCAUCUGUCAUUUUGUUGUUGUUAAUGUCAUAUCACAGAUUUAAUUAAACUUUUGAUAUGCUGUCAUGGAUAUUUGUUGGGAUUUUUUUUUUGCCCUUUUUGUUUACUAUAUUUCACAUUGAUUACUAAAAGGAGAUAUUCAAGUUUAUAGCUUUUAAAAUAAAGAAAUGUGAGUAUGGUUUCAUACCUUUUAACCUAUGGACACCAUUUAUGAUAUUGAGAGAGUCAGUUUACACCAACAUUUAGUAAUGUUGCUCUAUUAUUGAUCCAACAUUUCUGAAAUAAGAUUUUUCAUUCUUUAGUUAUAAAUGAUAACAUUUAUAUUGUGCCUCAUUCUGAAAUCACAAGGAUGGUAAUAGGAACCUUUGAAAUUUUUAACCUUACCCUGCUAAAUUUAUAUAAUGAACUUGUCCAUCUUUUAAUUUCAACAGUACCAUUAACUGUAAUAAAAGGUAUGUUUACCAAAAAUAUAUUGACUGAAUGGCUACAGUGCAGAUCUUGACUGCAUGCAUGUGCAUGCUGAUCUUGAUCUACACUGGUCGCAAAAGCAGAAUGAAUUAUGUUCAGCAUGAUAAGGGUUAAAUUAUCUACAGUUGC